GAUGAACGCUGGCGGCGUGCCUAAUACAUGCAAGUCGAGCGAACAGACGAGGAGCUUGCUCCUCUGACGUUAGCGGCGGACGGGUGAGUAACACGUGGAUAACCUACCUAUAAGACUGGGAUAACUUCGGGAAACCGGAGCUAAUACCGGAUAAUAUAUUGAACCGCAUGGUUCAAUAGUGAAAGACGGUUUUGCUGUCACUUAUACAUGGAUCCGCGCCGCAUUAGCUAGUUGGUAAGGUAACGGCUUACCAAGGCGACGAUGCGUAGCCGACCUGAGAGGGUGAUCGGACACACUGGAACUGAGACACGGUCCAGACUCCUACGGGAGGCAGCAGUAGGGAAUCUUCCGCAAUGGGCGAAAGCCUGACGGAGCAACGCCGCGUGAGUGAUGAAGGUCUUCGGAUCGUAAAACUCUGUUAUUAGGGAAGAACAAAUGUGUAAGUAACUAUGCACGUCUUGACGGUACCUAAUCAGAAAGCCACGGCUAACUACGUG
rnacentral:rRNA from 1 species